GAUGAACGCUGGCGGCGUGCCUAAUACAUGCAAGUCGAGCGAACGGACGAGAAGCUUGCUUCUCUGAUGUUAGUGGCGGACGGGUGAGUAACACGUGGAUAACCUACCUAUAAGACUGGGAUAACUUCGGGAAACCGGAGCUAAUACCGGAUAAUAUCUUGAACCGCAUGGUUCAAAAGUGAAAGACGGUCUUUCUGUCACUUAUAGAUGGAUCCGCGCUGCAUUAGCUAGUUGGUAAGGUAACGGCUUACCAAGGCAACGAUGCAUAGCCGACCUGAGAGAGUGAUCGGCCGCACUGGAACUGAGACACGGUCCAUACUCCUACGAGACGCAGCAGUAGGGAAUCUUCCGCAAUGGGCGAAAACCUGACGGAGCAACGCCGCGUGAGUGAUGAAGGUCUUCGGAUCGUAAAACUCUGUUAUUAGGGAAGAACAUAUGUGUAAGUAACUGUGCACAGCUUGACGGUACCUAAUCAGAAAGCCACGGCUAACUACGUG
rnacentral:rRNA from 1 species